UACGUAGGGGGCAAGCGUUGUCCGGAAUCAUUGGGCGUAAAGAGCGUGUAGGCGGCCCGAUAAGUCCGCUGUGAAAGUCCAGGGCUCAACCCUGGAAUGCCGGUGGAUACUGUCGGGCUCGAGUUCGGAAGAGGUGAGUGGAAUUCCUGGUGUAGCGGUGGAAUGCGUAGAGAUCGGGAAGAACACCAGUGGCGAAGGCGGUCUGCUGGGCCGUUGCUGACGCUGAGGCGCGACAGCGUGGGGAGCAAACAGG
rnacentral:rRNA from 1 species